UCUCCGUUGGUGAACCAGCGGAGGGAUCAUUACCGAGUUCCAGCAACUCCCAACCCUUGCGAACCGUACCCCAGUCUGUUCUCGUUGCUUCCGGCAGGCGGGGGGGGCCACCUGGCCCCUCCCCCUGCCGGGGGCGGCGGGCCCUCUGGACCUUUAUAUCUCAACCACUGAAACCCGUCUGAGCAAAACAAAAAAUAAUCAAAACUUUCAACAACGGAUCUCUUGGCUCUG
rnacentral:misc_RNA from 1 species